GCUCCCUGAAAUCUCCUCGUUCAGACUUCCGGCUCUGCCUGCCCAUCCCCCAGCACACCGCUGUUCCGUACUUUGGAGGGCCAUCAGACUACGCAUUCCCGUCCUCCCGCGUGCUACCAAACAAGCCACUCGGGAGUGUUUAUACAUGCACUGGCUCUCGAAGAAAUAAACGGGAAAUCGCUUCAGCUGCAUUCCGAAAUCCCAAUGGCAUCCGUUUCCAGAGCGAAUUCCAGUGGCUCGAAGCUGCAGCUUUAUUCAUACUUCCGGAGCUCGUGCGCGUGGCGAGUACGUAUUGCUUUGAAUUUGAAAGGGUUGGAUUAUGAGUACAAGGCAGUGAACCUGUUGAAAGGAGAGCAGUUCAGUCCAGAGUUUUCAAAGCUCAACCCUCUUAAUUAUGUUCCGGUGCUGGUCGAUGAGGACAUAGUAAUUGCCGACUCUUUAGCCAUCAUCCUGUAUUUGGAGGAGAAGUACCCUCAGAAUCCACUGUUGCCUAAAGAUCUUCACAAAAGGGCCAUUAAUUUUCAGGCUGCAAAUAUUGUCUGUGCCAACAUUCAGCCUUUUCUGAAGCUUGCUGUCAUGAACUACAUAGAAGAAAAAAUUAAUACCGAUGAGAAGCUUGUAUGGGCUCAAUAUCAUAUAGGAAGAGGCUUUGCAGCUCUCGAGAAGCUGUUAAAAGAUUUUUCUGGAAAAUAUGCGACAGGAGAUGAGGUUUUCCUGGCGGAUUUGUUUUUGGCUCCCCAGAUUCAUGCAGUAUUUACUGGGUUAAAGCUCGAUAAGGAUUGAUUGCUAGUUUUCCCUCAAUUGAAAGCUAGAGCAGCAAUACCCACAUGCUAUAGCAAUGACAACAAUGCUAGAAGGAGAAAAGGAAGAAAGAGUCCGAGUUCCCUCUUCUAAGCAAGCUCCAUGAAGCAUAUGAGAAGCUACCGGCAUUCUGCGCAGCUAUGCCAGAUGUGCAGCCAGAUGCCUUGAAACCAUAGGUUCAGCUCCCCUUUCAUGUAUAAUGAUCUACAGUGUUAGUUUGUAUUAGUCCAGAUGGUGUUUAAUAAUGAAAAGGAGAUCUGUCCACAUGGCAUUAGUCCAAACAAUGACCAGUGAUUUCUUAGAUUGCCCUUUAGAGGCUUUUCAGGGUAGCUGGGGGGUAGUCGUCUUUGGAUUAGUUGGAUGAUCCCUUUACCCUCCAUGGAAUCCAAGGUAAAAGAAAGGAAAAAAACAAUAAUUAUGUAAUGAUGAUUUUUAUGAGAACUAUUGAAAUAUCAAUUUCAAUUAUGAGUUCU